AGGACGAACGCUGGCGGCGUGCUUAACACAUGCAAGUCGAGUGGAAAGGCCCUUCGGGGUACUCGAGCGGCGAACGGGUGAGUAACACGUGAGCAACCUGCCCUUAGCUCCGGGAUAGCUCCGGGAAACCGGAAUUAAUACCGGAUACGACCACGGCCGACAUCUGCUGUGGUGGAAAGGAUUCCGGCUAAGGAUGGGCUCGCGGCCUAUCAGCUAGUUGGUGGAGUAACGGCCCACCAAGGCGACGACGGGUAGCCGGCCUGAGAGGGCGACCGGCCACACUGGGACUGAGACACGGCCCAGACUCCUACGGGAGGCAGCAGUGGGGAAUAUUGCGCAAUGGGCGAAAGCCUGACGCAGCGACGCCGCGUGGGGGAUGAAGGCCUUCGGGUUGUAAACCCCUUUCAGCAGGGACGAAGCGAAAGUGACGGUACCUGCAGAAGAAGCGCCGGCUAACUACGCGCCAGCAGCCGC
rnacentral:rRNA from 1 species